ACCCUUGCCUUGACUGAUCAGGACUCCUCAGUUCAUCUUCUCACGAUGAGACUCCCUGCUCAGCUCCUGGGGCUGUUGAUGCUCUGGGUCCCUGGAUCCAGUGGGGAUGUUGUGAUGACUCAGUCUCCACUCUCCCUGUCUGUCACUAUUGGACAGCCGGCCUCCAUCUCCUGCAGGUCUAGUCAAAGCCUUGUACACAGUGAUGGAAAAACCUACUUGAAUUGGUUACAGCAGAAGCCAGGCCAACCUCCAAGGCGCCUAAUUUAUCAGGAGAGCUCCUCUGCCUGUGCCAAGUCAGAGCUUGUGUCCAUAGGCAAACUUGGCGGCUGUGGCAGGAGGACAAAAAGUCAGGCACCAGUUUGCAGCCUGGAGAUGCUGCAUGUUCUCCUGUGAGCGGGACAGUCACCAGGACCCUGCACAGCCUGAGAAUCUCAAACACAGCC